rnacentral:rRNA from 1 species
UUGGUGAUCAUAGUAACUUUUCGAAUCGCAUGACUUUACGUCGGCGAUGGUUCAUUCAAAUUUCUGCCCUAUCAAGUUUCGAUGGUAGGAUAGAGGCCUACCAUGCUUUUUACGGGUAACGGCGAAUUAGGGUUCGAUUCCGGAGAGGGAGCCUGAGAAACGGCUACCACAUCUAAGGAAGGCAGCAGGCGCGCAAAUUACCCAAUCCUGAUUCAGGGAGGUAGUGACAAUAAAUAACAAUCCAGGACUUCGGUCUUGGAAUUGGAAUGAGAACAAUUUAAAUCUCUUAUCGAGGAACAAUUGGAGGGCAAGUCUGGUGCCAGCAGCCGCGGUAAUUCCAGCUCCAAUAGCGUAUAUUAAAGUUGUUGCAGUUAAAUAGCUCGUAGUUGAAUCUUGGGGCUGGUUUGGCGGUCGCGUCUUUGACGUGUACUGUCGGCCGGUUC